UUUGAAACAUUAGAGAAAAAACCACAAAAAACCCUAAACCACAAAAAACCCUAAAAACCUAACUCUUUCUGCCUACUCACCCAAGCAGCCGCCGUUCCCCGGGGUCCUUGGCUUUUGCUCUCCCAGAACCAGAGAGCCAAGGACCCCUCGCCAUUUGAAAUCAGCCCUUCUCCCCCUUUGGCCGCUCAUCCUUUGGAAACCAGAGCUCCCCUUCUCCUCUCACGGCCCCCAAAAACAUUUUGUCCUUCUCACAGCCGACCCCAACAGCCCCAUCGCCGGCCUCCCCCGACUAUCCCCUACAGACCCGAACCAGAACCUCCACAUCCACCGACAGUACCACCCCCCGGUUCUCUCUUCGCCCUCACAAAGCAGCCUCCCUUUUCCCUCUCCAUCGCCUUCCCCUUUCAGUUCCUUUUCUCAGCCGACCCAUCGGUUUUCCCAAACCAGAGAGCCUUCACGCUCCCCUUCGACAUCAGCGCCGUCCACAAACCGGCCACCAGCAACAGCCCUUCUCCAGCAUUUCUUUCCCACAGCAGCUGACCACCACACCGACACCCACCGAUCUGUCCAUUCCUCCGCCUCAACACCGCCAGCAACCUCUCACAUUCUCGCAGCAGCUCCAGCGGCCACAGGCUGCAGCAGCAAAGCCAAUUAAAGCCGACGAUCAGACCACUUCGUUCUCCUCCAUCUCCACCGAACCGGACACCAGCAGCUGCACAGCCGUCGACCGAAGCACAUCCACACUGCCGGCCGUUUGAAACAGGGAACAAAGGGGAAACGAAAAGAAACUGAGCUGCGAAGAGAGAUGCAGAUCUGCGGAACAAAAGAGAAAAACACAACUAAAAUCAACUGUUGUUGUGCGUUGUUUCCCUUGUUGCAGGUGUCGGUGACCUUCACCGCCGGAGGAGGAAGACAGGGAAGAAGAAGACGUUCUCGAUCCACUGGUUUUCGGUCUUCAUCGGCGGCGGCGCGUGAACCCACGCGCCUCCAGUGGCGGAGGCGCGUGGAGCAACGCGCCACUACUGUUCAGACGACACCAAGGCUGUGCAGCACUGUUCCCGAGGAUUUCUCUGUGUUUUUUGUUGUAACUUUCAGAUGAUGUGUAUAUUUAGAUAUUAUUGUAUUUGAUUUAUUUUGAAUUUUUGUUAUUUGUUUUACAUGUAAAAAUUGUGUAUGUAAAAAACAAAAAAGAAAAGGAAAGGAAAAGAGAAAGAAAAUAUAGUGAAAGUGUAUAGGUGUGUUUGUAUUUGUUUUAUGGAUGUUUUAUUUUUAUUUAAGAUAAAAUUGUAAAGAUUAAAGAAGAAUUUAAUAUUUUGAUUGGAUCACGGUCAAGAAUUAUUAACUUAUACGUAAGUUGUAUUUCUAAUAUCCGAUGAAAAGAC
rnacentral:lncRNA from 1 species